CUCAUUUAGCAAAAGAUCAUUUCAAUGAUAUCCACAAACACGGGAUUUCAUGGCCAAAACAUGAAGACAGAAACUCAGAUGCAGAAACUAGAGGUAGAAAAUUUUGCAGAUAUUCCAAAAAUCUCAAAAAGGGGUUGAAACAUGGUUCUAGAAAAAUAAUGUAGAAGGUAGAAACUCGAUCGAUCGAUUCCGAAGGCGGUAAAUUUUAGGAUUGAGAGCAUACCACCAACCUGCUCAUUUAGCAAAAGAUCAUUUCAAUGAUAUCCACAAACACGGGAUUUCAUGGCCCAAACAUGAAGACAGAAACUCAGAUGCAGAAACUAGUGGUAGAAAAUUUUGCAGAUAUUCCAAAAAUCUCAGAAAGGAGUUGAAACAUGGUUCUAGAAAAAUAAUGUAGAAGGUAGAAACUCGAUCGAUCGAUUCCGAAGGCGGUAAAUUUUAGGAUUGAGAGCAUACCAUAAGGGAAUUCUUUGCUUCUCCUCCAUUGGAUCUCGAUGUGAUCACCGGGUUUCAAGUCAUUCAAACAAUCAGAAGUAUGAAGAAC
rnacentral:lncRNA from 1 species